CCAUCUAGAUGGACCAUCUAGA
rnacentral:snRNA from 1 species